AACGCUGGCGGCAUGCCUAACACAUGCAAGUCGAACGAGAUCUUCGGAUCUAGUGGCGCACGGGUGAGUAACGCGUGGGAACCUACCUUUUAGUACGGGACAACGUUUGGAAACGAACGCUAAUACCGUAUACGCCCUCCGGGGGAAAGGUCAGCCGCUAAAAGAGGGGCCCGCGUCUGAUUAGCUUGUUGGUAAGGUAAUGGCUUACCAAGGCUACGAUCAGUAGCUGGUCUGAGAGGAUGAUCAGCCACACUGGGACUGAGACACGGCCCAGACUCCUACGGGAGGCAGCAGUGGGGAAUAUUGGACAAUGGAGGCAACUCUGAUCCAGCAAUGCCGCGUGUGUGAUGAAGGCCCUAGGGUUGUAAAGCACUUUCAACGGUGAAGAUGAUGACGGUAGCCGUAGAAGAAGCCCCGGCUAACUUCGUGCCAGCAGCCGCGGUAAUACGAAGGGGGCGAGCGUUAUUCGGAAUUAUUGGGCGUAAAGGGCUCGCAGGCUGCUUGAAC
rnacentral:rRNA from 1 species